AGGUUAUGAGGUCCUGCCCACCUCUGCAAAGUUGUGAAAGUAACCACGCUUGAUUCGAGAAGGAUGCAUGCCCACAUUUCUUAACUGUCACAAAGCAGGAGCUCCUGCAGUGUGCUGCAUUGAGAUGUUUGUUCCAAUACACAGAUACCAGUUCAAGGCCAAGAUUUUAUUUACCCUGAUUGUACAAAACAAGCCAGCACUUAAACUGCAACUCAAACAACUCAAGCUGUUGUGCUCCAUUCAUGUUCGUCUAAAUGAUUUAGCUUAUAUUUUUCUCUUCCUGUCCUGCAGCCCUUGUUCCCACUGCUGUCAGUAACCACCUGCCUGCAGAGGACAAGCUGGGCAGUAGCAAACAAUUCUGGAUCUUCCCCCCUUUCAUCAUGAGAAUUCAUUUGGACUCUCUUUCCCAGACCUCAGAGCAUGCCUGAUUCCUGGGAGCAGAACAGAGAACAAGAACAGAGUUAAUCUUCAGCAAUGUGAUAAAAAUCACUCUCUCACACAGACAACUGGAGAGGGAUUUCAACAGAACUGUUGUGCCAAGCACCUGAUAGCAAAACCUGAAACUGUUGCCAACCCACACCUUCCUGCUCACAGACACAGCUUGCUCAGUCUCUCCCCAGCACUCCCACUUCUCUACUAAAAUCUAAGUCACCACUGAGCAAACCCUCUCACCAAAAAGAGAGGCCACUCUUUCUGUAACGAA